AUGGAUGGGCGAAGAUUGGUACUCCACAAACAUCAGCAAAUUUCUGGUAUACACCAACUUCGUACAGUCAUUACACUGGGCAAUAGUGAUAGUAUGCCAUCAACCACUAUACCUUGGCUAUGUAAGGAGUCAAGAUAUUUGACAGUGCUAGAAUUAAGUGGUCUACCUGUUGAGAAGAUUCCAGAUGCUAUUGGAGAUCUUUUUAAUCUCCGCCAUUUGGGUUUGCGUGAUACAAAAGUGAAGAUGCUCCCAAAGUCUUUAGAGAAGCUUUCUAAUUUGUUGACACUUGACCUUUGUAGAUCUGAAAUACAUGAGCUGCCUAGUGGGAUUGUGAAACUGAAGAAGCUCAGGCACUUAUUUGCUGAGAGAGUAAUUGAUCCAAAUGGGAUAGAGUUGACAUGGGGAAGUGGUAUAUGUAUCCCCAAUGGUCUGGGAAAUCUAACAAAUCUGCAGACGCUACAAGCAUUGGAAGCACAAGAUGAGUCUCUUAGGCAUUUAGGGGAGCUGAGGCAAAUGAGAAGCUUGAGGUUAUGGAAUGUGAAGGGUAUGUACUGUGGACUCAUCAGUGAGUCUCUAGUUCAGAUGCCAUAUUUGUCCAACCUAGAUGUGAAUGCAAGUGAUGAGAAAGAGGUUCUCUUGCUGAAUGCCUGCCUGCCAAACCUGCAAAAGCUGAGUUUGACAGGACGACUAGCAGAAAGGGCGUUGGACGAGUCUCCUCUGUUCCAAGAUGUUGGGGGGAAGAACUUGUAUGAAUUGUUACUACGCUGGUCACAGCUGAAAGAAGACCCGCUGCCAUCCCUUUCUCGGUUGUCAAACUUGACGCGUCUACAACUCACCAGAGCAUACAAUGGAGAGCAGCUGACAUUUCUCACGGGGUGGUUUCCCAAGCUAAAGGUUCUCUCUCUAAAAGCCCUGUCUAAUCUGAAUCAACUGGAGAUAGCGGAAGGCGCCAUGGCUAGCCUGGAGGAAUUAUUCUUGGUCAACCUCAGCAGCAUGACGGAGGUCCCAGCUGGCAUUGAGUUCCUCCUGCCCCUCCAGCGUCUAGGCUUCCACGAAAUCACCAGUGACUUCUUGACGGUGCUGUACCAAUGUUCUGUACUUGAAGUGCAGAUGUGGCAUUAUUCUCUUCGAGACUGA
rnacentral:rRNA from 1 species